rnacentral:rRNA from 1 species
AUUGAACGCUGGCGGCAGGCUUAACACAUGCAAGUCGAGCGGAGCGAGGGUGCUUGCACCUUAGCUUAGCGGCGGACGGGUGAGUAAUGCUUAGGAAUCUGCCUAUUAGUGGGGGGCAACAUUCCGAAAGGAAUGCUAAUACCGCAUACGCCCUACGGGGGAAAGCAGGGGAUCUUCGGACCUUGCGCUAAUAGAUGAGCCUAAGUCGGAUUAGCUAGUUGGUGGGGUAAAGGCCUACCAAGGCGACGAUCUGUAGCGGGUCUGAGAGGAUGAUCCGCCACACUGGGACUGAGACACGGCCCAGACUCCUACGGGAGGCAGCAGUGGGGAAUAUUGGACAAUGGGCGGAAGCCUGAUCCAGCCAUGCCGCGUGUGUGAAGAAGGCCUUUUGGUUGUAAAGCACUUUAAGCGAGGAGGAGGCUACUUAGAUUAAUACUCUGGGAUAGUGGACGUUACUCGCAGAAUAAGCACCGGCUAACCCUGUGCCAGCCGCCGCAGUAA